rnacentral:lncRNA from 1 species
GAGAGCUGCAGUCAUCUGCUGCGGGUCUUUUAUUACGUGGCAAGUUUAGAAUAACAUUUUCAAAACAUACAACUUCAAACAUCUAAGUCCUCAUGAGAUGAUACAAUACGUGGAUCUCGAGUGCAUCUGUGUGUUUCCCAGAGGCCCGUGCGGGACUCCUGGCCACUGGAUGGUAUGCUCUGCCUUCAGAACGGCUCUUUCCACCGUUCUGAAAUGCCCUCCCUCAUAGACACCUCAGGUGUGCUCUGCUGACUCUAAAUCCAGUCAACUUGUCAAAGAUUAACCAUCAGAGGAGCAGGCUCUUCGGUGGAGACCUUUUGGGAGGAGGCCCAGCCGACCGGAGGAUGGCAGCUGUGUGGCUGCCCUGCAACAAUGGACAGAACCAACUUCUACUUUGUUUGCAAGGCACAGAUCCAAAAGAACAAUGAAUGGUGGGACACGCUCCUUGCCCCGCAAGGAUCUGUGUGUUCUUUGUAACUCCUUUCGAGCAGGGCAGGGCAGGAUGUGUGAGGCGUCAGGAUCGAAUUUCUGCUCCAGCCAUGUUCCUGAAUCCCAACCAGCAGACAGGAAAGAAGACAGGUAGCAACAUAUACCAACAUAUUCAGGAGCAUAUUCCUACGUGUAGGCGUGGCAAAUAUACACAACCAGCUGCGGCGGAACCAUCUUAAGUGUGCUAAAUUUAGCAUGUCCUCUGGACUUAAACAUGUUCACCUUGCUAUGCAAACAUUACCAGCAUCAUAUCUAGAGUCCUUUUUAAUCCUCAUAUAGUGGCUAUUCCUGAUUGUCAACUUGACUAUAUCUGGAAUGAACUACAAUCCAGAAUUGGAGGGUUCACCUGUGAUCCAGAUCUUGAGGCUGGAAGACACAAGUUUCUGACCUGGAUCUUGGUAUGGAGAUCUUGAGGCAUAGUGGCCGUGAAAAGCUUAGGCCCAGACAAAGCAGUACACUCCUUUAAUCCCAGGAGACUGAGGCAUGAAGAUCUCUGAGUUCAAGGUCAGUCUGGGGCAAAGCAAGUUCCAGGUCCAGGUAUGGUGGUACACACCUUUAAUCUUGGUCACAUAAAGACCUGCAUAAAGACAUUGGAAGAAGGAAGAGUUUCUCUUCUUCGCCUGCUUGUCUUGUGGACUGAACAACUACUAGACACUUGGACUUCCAUUCACAGCUGCUGCUGACCAUUGUUGGUGAGUUGGACUACAGAUUGUAAGUCAUCAACAAAUUCCCUUACUAUAUAGAGACUACCCAUAAGUUCUGUGACUCUAGAGAACCCUGACUAACACACCUCUCAAACAGAAACUUCGGUAAACAAUUACUCUCUCUUCAGCCCCUGACAGCUACUCUACCUUCGGUUCUUGGGAAUCUGACUACUCUAAAUCCAUGAAUGGAGUCCUGCCAACAUUUGUCGAUGGCUGGUCCUGUUCAUGGUAGUUCAUGAAUAUCAUGAUAUCGGUCUUCAUUUGUCAUCUGGGCCAGGAUUCCCUUUGCCAAGCUGAGUACUAUUCCAUUGUGUGUGUGUGUGCACUUUCCCAUGCAUUUGCUGGUAGAUGGUUGGGUUGCUUCUUUGCUUUUUGCUUACGUGAAUUGUGCUACAGUGAACACGAACGUACAGAUGCUCUUUGUUCCCCCAGAAGCUUCAUAUUCUCACGUGUAAUGCACAAGGGAGGACAUUUCUCCCCUUCUUACCGACCCUCGUUUUCUGGGUUGUUUUUGUUUGUUUGCUUAAAGAGUAGCCUCACGAUGAGUCUGGAAGGGCACCGCACGGUGGUUCUCAUUUGUACCUCUCUAACAGAGUGUGAUAUGAGCAUUUUGCCCUGUGCCCGUUCAUCACUACUAGUUCAUAUUCCUGGAAAGAUAUCUGUCCGUUCAAUUCACUUGUUCACGGUUUGAUUGAACCGUUCCGUAUGGUGUAGAAUGGACUUUAACUCCUAUCAGAUGGAUAAUUUGUACUGUGCUCUCUUUCCCAUUCUCUGAGUUGUCUUUUCCUUCUAUUGGUAAUACUGUUUGAUACACAGGUUUUUCUCAAUAUAAUUCAAUAGUCUUUCACCUGUCUGCUUUAGCAAGAUGUUCUUCCACCUGGGUGCCCCAGCAAAACAUCAUUUGACAUAACUAACUUUCCAAAGAAGCUAGAAGUUUCCAUUUCACAGGGAUCCUGCCCAGCUCCUCGGGGUGGCUACCUCACAAGCUGUGCGGUUUAGUGUCUUCUGUCUUCUGUGCUUGGAAGACAGUCCUCACCUUUUCUAGCCACUCUCAUCUCAACCAUCACCUCACCUGGGAAGCCUUCCUUGCUCCUCCCCAGGGACUUAAACACGUUUUCUUUUGUUCCUUUGGGCAUUGCCAUCCAAGGACUUUGUUACUCUUUGCUUGUUUGUUUUUGUCUGUCUACUUUCCCAUUAAAGCUUGAGCUCUUUGUGUG